GACGAACGCUGGCGGCGUGCUUAACACAUGCAAGUCGAACGGAAAGGCCCUGCUUGCAGGGUACUCGAGUGGCGAACGGGUGAGUAACACGUGGGUGAUCUGCCCUGCACUUCGGGAUAAGCCUGGGAAACUGGGUCUAAUACCGGAUAGGAGCCAUUUUUAGUGUGAUGGUUGGAAAGUUUUUUCGGUGUAGGAUGAGCUCGCGGCCUAUCAGCUUGUUGGUGGGGUAAUGGCCUACCAAGGCGGCGUCGGGUAGCCGGCCUGAGGGGGUGGACGGCCACAUUGGGGAUGGGAAAAGGCCCAGGCCCCUACGGGGGGGCGGAGGGGGGAAUUUUGCCCAAAGGGCGCAAGCCUGAUGCAGGCACGCCGCGGGGGGGAAGGAGGGCUUCGGGUUGUAAAACCCCUUCGCUAGGGACGGAGCUUUUUGUGACGGUACCUAGAUAAGAAGCACCGGCUAACUACGUG
rnacentral:rRNA from 1 species